rnacentral:rRNA from 1 species
GGCCAGACUCCUACGGGAGGCAGCAGUGGGGAAUAUUGCACAAUGGGGGGAACCCUGAUGCAGCAAUGCCGCGUGGGUGAAGAAGCACUCCGGUGCGUAAAGCCCUGUCAGCAGGGAAGAAAAUGACAGUACCUGGACAAGAAGCCCCGGCUAACUACGUGCCAGCAGCCGCGGUAAUACGUAGGGGGCAAGCGUUAUCCGGAUUUACUGGGUGUAAAGGGAGCGCAGGCGGCGGUGCAAGCCAGAUGUGAAAGCCCGGGGCUCAACCCCGGGACUGCAUUUGGAACUGUGCUGCUAGAGUGUCGGAGAGGCAGGCGGAAUUCCUAGUGUAGCGGUGAAAUGCGUAGAUAUUAGGAGGAACACCAGUGGCGAAGGCGGCCUGCUGGACGAUGACUGACGUUGAGGCUCGAAAGCGUGGGGAGCAAACAGGAUUAGAUACCCUCGUAC